UCCAAAUCCUAAGCUAGAGUCAAAUGACGA
rnacentral:piRNA from 1 species